CUUGCACAGUCUGCAUUUUGGGUCAACAGCUGAUUUUUCGAUCUUGGCCUUAAUUGUAUUUGUUCUGAUGGCUUGCUCCUGGGCUGCAAGGAUUAUUAUUAUUAUUAUUAUUAUUAUUAUUAUUAUUAUUAUUAUUAUUCACAUCCAACGUUCUGCUGUCCCAUUUAUGUUGGAUAAGUGAGACUCUACUGUAUUAUAAUGAUCACUCCCAAUUGACACAGUCAGUUUUAAACGGUUCAGAGAUGUCUUCUACGGCCAACAUACUUAAGGAGGGGGCGGGGGGGGGGGGGAAAGAAGAUGAAAUGAUCAAGGAUUUGUUCUGGAAGAUGAAGGUUCACUGCUCUCACCUCGCUCAAAGUCUUGGUCAAUGUUUAGCGAUGCCAUAGCAGGCCGGGAUGCAUUCAACUGGAUUCAACCAGUAGAACAGGAUAUCCUCCUCCCCUCGACCCCGGCAUCGACAUCAACGUUUCUUUUGCUCCUGUGCCAAAAGAUUGCAUCAAGUCAGCUGCUUUUCCCACCACGUUCCUGGAGAUAUUGCAAGGAGAGUGACAUCCAACUGCGUAGAAAAAAAAAUACAUAGAAAUGGCAGUGGGGAAUGAUCCAAGGAUCUGCCUGUCAUUCUUAUAUAAGAAUGACUCUUUCUAUUCCUUCUGCCUUUCAGAUCUGCUGACAGCACCGCAGCGGGUGAGGAAUAAGUUUCUCAAGGAGCAGAGGGACCUCGCUGCGACUCUAGGGAGACUUGAACACCAAAAGCGGAGCAGAUGCAGGCAACUGGAUGAGGAAAAAAGGCAUUUUCACCUUCUGAUGAUAAAGAAAUUAGCCCCCAAAGUCACCACUAGUUGUGGGUCCUCCUCUAUCGGAAAAGGAAACUUUCAAGCAGAGUUCUCGGAUGUCCAGUUUUCAUCUCUGGCAUUGAGCAAGAGCAGCUGGAAAAGCCUCGAGACCAAAUUGUCCACCGGACAAGAUGCCACCUUCCACGCAAGAGUCCGAAAUGAAUUUCCACCAAAGUUUUGCAAAGAACCUGGCUCUUCUUUCCCAAACGCUGUGCCAGCCGAUACAUACCAACACCUCCCUGGCAAGAGGCACCUCGCAAAAAGUGGAAGCGACUUGCCAUUCUUCCAUCACACCACAUCAUCCGUAACCCUUUGUGGAACUAACCAAGGAGAUUAAUGCUUGGAUCGGUAAACUAACUUUUGAUACUUGCUGGAAAUGGAUGUAGCUUUAUAUAUAGCUUUGUUAACAUGCACAUUUUCAUAUACCAUGAACCUGGUACCCUCCAGAUCUUUUAAUUUCCGCUUUGAUGAUACAUUACCACUGGCCAUAUUAACCAAGACUGAUGGCAGUCACAGGCAAAAACAUCGAGGAGAAUAGGUUGGGUAUGGCUACAGUACUGGCUUCGAGCCUUUUUCUAAACCCAGCCUCUAUCCCUUAUUACUAGAGAUGGACAAGUUAGCUCAAAAAGGGCCAAAAUUACUUUUUUUAAAAGUUGGAAGCAGCACAUCCAAUUUUCCAAGUCAGUCGUCAUUUGUACAUCACCCACACAUCCUACUCUUGGGUUAAUACGAGAUAAAGUGUAGUCAUUUGAACUGUUUUUAGUUGCAACUUUGAACUUUUUUUGUUGUCUCUUGAAAUACUGUAAACCAUCUUUUGAGUCUAUUACAUGAAAAGUGUGGUUCAAAUGUCCCUUUAGUGUGUGAUUUUCCUUUUUUCGUGUCAGGAGCGACUUGAGAAACUGCAAGUCGCUUCUGGUGUGAGAGAAUUGGCCGUCUGCAAGGAUAUUGCCCAGGGGACGGCCAGAUGUUUUUCCCAUCCUAUGUCCCCGCAUAAGGAGCUGGAGCUGACAGAUGGGAGCUCACCCCGCUCCCUGGAUUCAAACCACUGACUUUUCGGUCAGCAGUCCUGCCGGCACAAGGGUUUAACCUUUAACCUUGUACUAUAUUGACAUGGUCUGAACUUAGGUUUAUGUGCAAUGGUUCCUUGGAAGAAUGGUAUUAAGCAACUAUAUGUUUUAAGCUUGACUAAUGUAUUUUAUGGAUUAUUAUUAAUGGUUUUAAAUGUGUUGCUGUUUUUACUGAUCUGUUUGGCAUUGAAUUUUGCCGGUUGUUGUAAGCCGCCCUGAAUCCACUCGGGUGAGAAGGGCGGGGUAGAAAUGUUGUAAAUAAAAUAUAUAAAUAAAUUAACCCAUUGACCUGUCUCCUUGUCUUGUGCACAAACUUCCCCAGACUCCACCACUUUGCUAUCUAUCAGCAGCCAUUAAGAGUCCUGCUUUACUGUAAUACAGAGCCCAAAGAGAGCUCUUAACUAGGGAUAUUAAUACUACUAAUUAAUAAUAUAAAUAAUAAUAAAUAUAUUGUAUGUACUUAUAAUAUUGAUAAUAUAAUGUAAUACAUUAUUAUACUAAAUAAUAUAAUAUAAUAUUAAUUAUAUAUUAUAUAUAAUAUUACUAAUAAUAUUACCAUAUAAUGAUAUAGUACAAUAUAGUAAUUUAAUGCUUAUAUUGUGCUAUGCUAAUAAUAUAUUGUAUGUUCAUUUGAUUUGUAAGCCGCUCU
rnacentral:lncRNA from 11 species